AAACCUGAUAUGACUUAGUGGCGGACGGGUGAGUAACACGUGAGCAACCUGCCUUUCAGAGGGGGAUAACGGCUGGAAACGGUCGCUAAUACCGCAUGAUGUGUUCGGAUGGCAUCAUCUGGACAUCAAAGAUUUAUCGCUGAAAGAUGGGCUCGCGUCUGAUUAGAUAGUUGGUGGGGUAACGGCCUACCAAGUCUACGAUCAGUAGCCGGACUGAGAGGUUGAACGGCCACAUUGGGACUGAGAACGGCCCAGACUCC
rnacentral:rRNA from 1 species